CAGCCUGAUGCAGCCAUGCCGACGUGUGUGAAGAAGGCCUUCGGGUUGUAAAGCACUUUCAGCGGGGAGGAAGGCGGUGAGGUUAAUAACCUUGUCGAUUGACGUUACCCGCAGAAGAAGCACCGGCUAACUCCGUGCCAGCAGCCGCGGUAAUACGGAGGGUGCAAGCGUUAAUCGGAAUUACUGGGCGUAAAGCGCACGCAGGCGGUCUGUCAAGUCGGAUGUGAAAUCCCCGGGCUCAACCUGGGAACUGCAUUCGAAACUGGCAGGCUAGAGUCUUGUAGAGGGGGGUAGAAUUCCAGGUGUAGCGGUGAAAUGCGUAGAGAUCUGGAGGAAUACCGGUGGCGAAGGCGGCCCCCUGGACAAAGACUGACGCUCAGGUGCGAAAGCGUGGGGAGCAAACAGGAUUAGAUACC
rnacentral:rRNA from 1 species